rnacentral:rRNA from 1 species
UACAGGGGGUGCAAGCGUUGCUCGGAAUUACUGGGCGUAAAGCGUGCGCAGGCGGUUUUGUAAGUCUGUCGUGAAAGCCCCGGGCUCAACCUGGGAAUUGCGAUGGAGACUGCAAGGCUUGAAUCUGGCAGAGGGGGGUAGAAUUCCACGUGUAGCAGUGAAAUGCGUAGAGAUGUGGAGGAACACCGAUGGCGAAGGCAGCCCCCUGGGUCAAGAUUGACGCUCAUGCACGAAAGCGUGGGGAGCAAGCAGG